AUUUUUUUCUUGGCAGGACAACAUUGCUGAGAAAGCUUGCUGUGGGGUUCCAUGCAAGUGCUCUGGAGAGAGAGGGGACAGAGGGCCCAUUGGAAGCAUUGGGCCAAAGGGUAUCUCUGGGGAAGAUGGCUACCGAGGCUACCCUGGCGAUGAAGGAGGACCUGGUGAGCGAGGCCCACCUGGUGUGAAUGGGACACAAGGUUUCCAGGGCUGCCCAGGCCAGAGAGGAGUCAAGG